GAUGAACGCUGGCGGCGUGCCUAAUACAUGCAAGUCGAGCGGACAGACGAGGAGCUUGCUCCUCUGCCGUUGGCGCCGGCCGGGUGAUUAAACCGUGGCAACCCUCCCUAUAAUACUGGGUAACCUCCGGAAAACGGGCGUUAAUCCCGGCUACUCUUUUCCUCCGCAUAGUGCAAUCUUGAAGAUCGCUUUUCCCUAUCAUUAACACAUGCUCCCGCGGCGCAUUAGCUAUUUGGUGAGGUAACGGCUCACCAAGGCAACGAUGCGUAGCCGACCUGAGAGGGUGAUCGGCCACACUGGGACUGAGACACGGCCCAGACUCCUACGGGAGGCAGCAGUAGGGAAUCUUCCGCAAUGGACGAAAGUCUGACGGAGCAACGCCGCGUGAGUGAUGAAGGUUUUCGGAUCGUAAAACUCUGUUGUCAGGGAAGAACAAGUACCGAAGUAACUGCCGAUACCUUGACGGUACCUGAUCAGAAAGCCACGGCUAACUACGUG
rnacentral:rRNA from 1 species